GCCGGGUGUGGUGGCGCAUACCUGUAAUCCCAGUGGCUCAGGAGGCUGAGGCAGGAGGAUCUCGAGUUUANAGAGAGAGCUGCCUCCC
rnacentral:sRNA from 1 species